CCUACGGGAGGCAGCAGUGGGGAAUCUUGCGCAAUGGGCGAAAGCCUGACGCAGCAACGCCGCGUGCGGGAAGAAGGCCUUCGGGUUGUAAACCGCUUUCAGCAGGAACGAAAAUGACGGUACCUGCAGAAGAAGGAGCGGCCAACUACGUGCCAGCAGCCGCGGUGACACGUAGGCUCCAAGCGUUGUCCGGAUUUAUUGGGCGUAAAGAGCUCGUAGGCGGUUCAGUAAGUCGGGUGUGAAAACUCUGGGCUCAACCCAGAGCCUGCAUUCGAAACUGCUGUGACUAGAGUUUGGUAGGGGAGCGGGGAAUUCCUAGUGUAGCGGUGAAAUGCGCAGAUAUUAGGAGGAACACCGGUGGCGAAAGCGCCGCUCUGGGCCAAUACUGACGCUGAGGAGCGAAAGCGUGGGUAGCAAACAGGAUUAGAUACCCUGGUAGUCCACGCCGUAAACGAUGGGCACUAGGUGUGGGUUUCAACUAACGAAAUCCGUGCCGUCGCUAACGCAUUAAGUGCCCCGCCUGGGGAGUACGGUCGCAAGACUAAAACUCAAAUGAAUUGACGG
rnacentral:rRNA from 1 species